rnacentral:lncRNA from 1 species
AUGACAGGAACAUAUUUAGGCAGAGUAAUUACCUUGUCUUUGGUAUGCUUUCCUAGUAUCGGGCAAAGACUUUGUUCCGAUUCGGUUUCCCCUGUUCUGCCAAGAUUUUCUUCUGUGGAGAAUCUUACUGUGGAACAUUUAAGCAUUACCUUAAGUCUCAGAGUGCAGAGCCAGAAAGAUUCCAUUUCUACUACCCCAUCGUCAAAACAACAUGUUUUCCGUCUGCUUCCACAAUAUUUAGAGAAAAGCAGGGGUGGCUCACAUUUUUUAUACAAAAAUGUACCAUGCACGCGAUUAGGUUUUACUCAUGCUUGUACAAAGGGUUUUUCAGCCGAUACAAGGGAGAGGGGAAGGGCAUGGCUGAGCAACGUCUCUGACCAGGUGAGAUUUAAGAAAAGCAGUAAGAUGAUUAAAAACAUGGAGUUUUUGAAGAGAUUUUUAGUACUUCUGAGUAGAGAAAUUUUUAUUUAUUUAUGUCAUAACCAAAGUAGGAGGAGGUUUGUUGUCACAAUAUCUGAGCAGAUUUGCAAACUAGCUUUAAAAGGCAGUAUCAUUUAUAUCGCUGCUGGAAUUAAUAAGGUCAAAAGUAGAGAACAGAUGUGGCACUACUUAGAUUUAAGUCCAAUGGUUGCAUUUCAUGAUGGACUGGUGAAAGAUAAAGUCUUCAAAAUGUACAUUUUCCUUAUCGGGCAUCUUGUCAUUUUCUUUUUAAGAAAGACUAACUGUACAUUCUACCAGGGUGAACAAAGAUAUUACGGGAUGAAGAAUAUAUUCCACCAAAGGCCAUCGGGUAGGCUUAGGUGGAGAAAAGACAAACACACUCCGAUUGCGAUGCACGAAUUAAGCACGUAUUGUCAUGAAAAAUUUGUUGUUUUUCCUGAACAGUGCUACCUAGUAUUUAUAAUAGCCAGCUCAAUCUUCAAAAAUGGGUUUAUGGGCAAAACACCCAGAUCAGCUGACUUACAAAGAGGGUUCUCUAAAGUUUUGAUAGCUCAUUUUUGCUGGUUCUGUGCUUUAGACUGUUUAGCCCUAUUUGCUUAUUUGGGUAUUUACUGCUUUAAUAUAAUGGAAAAACAAGAUAGUAUUUUAAAAGUUUUUCAAAUCAUCUUCUAA